CGCGGAAUAAUGUCCCUGUCACCGAGGGCGCUCUAACCCGGUCACAACGUUGAGAAGUUGAGCACGGUUUUUUCCUGCGUUGCUAUGGUUUUCUAAAAAGCUAUUGACUGCGAUAGGGUCCCUUUUCUCUCGACGUCUUUGUGGAGGAGGAAACCCUUUUACUUUUAACUGGGGGGCGCGAUAGCAUCCAGACGCAGGCAUUCCUCAUUCCCCAUCCCACCAAUCGCACCCACGGAGCCGUAAGCAUCCAGCGGUCGAGAGACAGAAAAAAAAAAAUCAACUUUGGCUUUACUCGACGUGAGUUGCGUUUACUGCCCACAGAGCGAGACCACACCUGGAGCCGACCUGCCAGAGCUCUUCUCGUCUCUUCUCUGCACUGCGAGAGAGGCUGCGAGCGAUAAGCUUCAACGAGACAUGACGCUGAACAAGAACCCAGGAUCUGUGGCACUUCUCUGCCUGCUAAUCUCUGCCCAGGCCUUUCCUCUCACUGCUGCCAUGGAUAUCCCCCUGGAGGUUUUAGAGCAAGCCAACAGUAAGUUCUCUAGUUGGUAUUCAUUUAGUAAAAUCACCGGCCCUGUGUUAAUAUCCUGGCUGGGUAAUGCCCACAGCAGCAGUCAGUCACCUUUCCCAUCGUCCAGUGUUAAUUUAUCACCUCAUGUCUCAUCGUUUUGUACUUUAUAACACCAUCACCUCUAGGAUUACAUGGCUAGAUUUCUUUUUUUGUCAUCACUAGCACUGCGUUUAUUUAUCGCAUCUCAUUCCCACAACAAAACAUAAGGAGGGCCAUUCAGUCAAGCCAUUCAUAACACAAAUCAUACUUCAUGAUGUUGUUCUUUUCCUAAAUUAUGUAUGUUAAUUAAAGGGUCCAAACCCAAUAAAAAAUAUCAAAUUUAUUUCUUAAUUAGAUUCAGG
ensembl:lncRNA